rnacentral:rRNA from 1 species
GACGAACGCUGGCGGCGUGCCUAAUACAUGCCAGUCGAGCGGACCGGAUUGGGGCUUGCCUUGAUUCGGUCAGCGGCGGACGGGUGAGUAACACGUGGGCAACCUGCCCGCAAGACCGGGAUAACUCCGGGAAACCGGAGCUAAUACCGGAUAACACCGAAGACCGCAUGGUCUUCGGUUGAAAGGCGGCCUUUGGGCUGUCACUUGCGGAUGGGCCCGCGGCGCAUUAGCUAGUUGGUGAGGGAACGGCUCACCAAGGCGACGAUGCGUAGCCGGCCUGGGAGGGUGACCGGCCACACUGGGACUGAGACACGGCCCAGACUCCUACGGGAGGCAGCAGUAGGGAAUCUUCCGCAAUGGGCGAAAGCCUGACGGAGCGACGCCGCGUGAGCGAAGAAGGCCUUCGGGUCGUAAAGCUCUGUUGUGAGGGACGAAGGAGCGUCGUUCGAAGAGGGCGGCGCGGUGACGGUACCUCACGAGAAAGCCCCGGCUAACUACGUG